rnacentral:rRNA from 1 species
GAUGAACGCUGGCGGCGUGCUUAACACAUGCAAGUCGAACGGAAAGGCCCAAGCUUGCUUGGGUACUCGAGUGGCGAACGGGUGAGUAACACGUGGGUGAUCUGCCCUGCACUUCGGGAUAAGCCUGGGAAACUGGGUCUAAUACCGGAUAGGACGAUGGUUUGGAUGCCAUUGUGGAAAGUUUUUUCGGUGUGGGAUGAGCUCGCGGCGUAUCAGCUUGUUUGUGGGGUAAUGGCCUACCAAGGCGUCGACGGGUAGCCUGCCUGAGAGGGUGUACGGCCACAUUGGGAGUGAGAGACGGCCCAGACUCCUACGGGAGGCAGCAGUGGGGAAUAUUGCACAAUGGGCGAAAGCCUGAUGCAGCGACGCCGCGGGGGGGAUGACGGCCUUCGGGUUGUAAACUCCUUUCGCUAGGGACGAAGCGUUUUUGUGACGGUACCUGGAGAAGAAGCACCGGCUAACUACGUG